AGAACUGUCAAUAAUUAACCAGGUUAUGUAGAAAAUUAUAAUAAAAUGUAACGUUUUUCACUGAAAAUUCAAUAUACACUUCAUCAAAGACUAGAAUUGGUUGUCAAAUUUUAAAUUUCGAUUUAAACGAACUCAAAAUCGAUAGUUUUUUUCCUAUUUUACAAAGUUUUAACGAAAAAUUACGGGAUUACAAAAAGUGCCUGUUUGUGUGUAUACGUGUAUUGAUCGUAAAUCUUGAAGGUCCGUCGCCCGAUCCCGAUCCUCUCACUUCAUCUUCUUCGUCUUCGAUGUCAGGACCGGCUCCAGAACCGGAUCCUUCGGUACCGUCUCGUUGCAUAUCGGAUUCCGAAUAAUUAGGACCCACAGAACUUAUAGCCAUCUAGACAUAAUAAUUACGUAAUGUAUAUAUUUUUUAAUUUAAUAUACUGAGGAAAAUGUAACAAGAGUUGAUCGAAUCGAUUUAUAAUCGAUAUAACUGAAUACGGAACUGUUAUGAUUCUCAAACUGUUCCGACUAGUACUCGAAGGUCACAAAAUUGUUGAUUGUAAUGGACACAAUGUUGUCAGAUCUCUAUUAACGUCUAUAUAUUUCCGAAAUUGAUCUAAAGAUGUUUAUAAAUCGGUUCUCAUCUAUUUUUCGAGGGAAAUUAUUUAGAAAAAAAUUAUGUUUGGUAUAUUUUAAUCUUAUAUACAGGGUGAUAAUUUAUUUAUUUAUAAAAUAAUCAUUUUAUUUAUGAAGUUUUGUUGAAUUUGACAAUACUGGUAUUUGUACUAGAUGCAAUGUUGAUAUUAAUGAAUAUACAGGAUGUCCCAAAUUUUGGAUUCGAGAUAAAACUUUAGAAAUGCGUAAUUAUGUACAUGUAUUGUAUAAAAAAUUAAUUUUAAUCAACAAAUCUGAGAAUUUUCCAAUAUAAAAAAUAAAAAAAGUUGAUAUUUUCAAUAUUUUGUUGAUUUUUCAAAUUUGAAACUUCAAAAUCAAAAUUUCGACAAACUUUUUUGGCAAAUAAAAAAUUUUUUUUGAAAAAUGUAUUUUUUUUCGUAAAAUAUAUUAAAAAACGAACAGGUUAUUAAACUUUUUGAAAAAGCUAGAAAUUAUCUCAUUUAUUCUAGAUUGAUGAAAAAUCAUGAAAUCGACAUUUGUGAAAAUUUUUUUUGACACACUUAAGACAUAAGUGGGACUUUAGUUCAAAAACCAAAAUUUUAAUAUUUUUUUUCUUCGAUUCGUGCAAAAUCUAGAUCGAUUUAACUAAUUUUUAUUUCAAAUUUCAUUAAACUUACAUGAAAAAACUAAA